GAUGAACGCUGGCGGCGUGCCUAAUACAUGCAAGUCGAGCGAAUGGAUUAAGAGCUUGCUCUUAUGAAGUUAGCGGCGGACGGGUGAGUAACACGUGGGUAACCUGCCCAUAAGACUGGGAUAACUCCGGGAAACCGGGGCUAAUACCGGAUAACAUUUUGAACCGCAUGGUUCGAAAUUGAAAGGCGGCUUCGGCUGUCACUUAUGGAUGGACCCGCGUCGCAUUAGCUAGUUGGUGAGGUAACGGCUCACCAAGGCAACGAUGCGUAGCCGACCUGAGAGGGUGAUCGGCCACACUGGGACUGAGACACGGCCCAGACUCCUACGGGAGGCAGCAGUAGGGAGUCUUCCGCCAUGGACGAAAGUCUGACGGAGCAACGCCGCGUGAGUGAUGAAGGCUUUCGGGUCGUAAAACUCUGUUGUUAGGGAAGAACAAGUGCUAGUUGAAUAAGCUGGCACCUUGACGGUACCUAACCAGAAAGCCACGGCUAACUACGUGCCAGCCGCCGCGGUAA
rnacentral:rRNA from 1 species